rnacentral:lncRNA from 1 species
UGCUAAUGCAAUACCCUGAAGAAAAAUAAGCUCGGCCUCCAGUAAAAAUAGACGUCUUUAAGAACCAAGAGACAUAAGUUCAUUUUCUCAUAUUCUGCUCACAUGAAUGUCUCCAAAGAUGAGAUUUUUUUUAAUGUGAGUCUUUAGAGCAAAGCGUCUGUUUCCAAAACACGCGUCUUCUCCUGAGAAAAGCAGCACGGAGAACCAGCAGCGCGUACUCAUCCCAGGCGCAGAGCGGAACUGCAGACGCCCCUGCUUCCUUCUGUGAUCCCCCCCCCACGUGAUUUAUUCACCCCCAUCCAAGGCCGACGCCCAGGCCCACUUCUCUGCGCUCGGAAAGAACAGGAGACACCUGCUUCUUCAAAGAGCCACAGCUGCACAAGCACGGAGCCCGCACAGAAGCCGCCAGAUGUCCGCUUCCUUUGCGGGGUUGGCCGGAGGGCGCGGGCAGGGGGUACUGGGUCAACCAAAGCAAAGGUCUCGCAGGUGAAUCUGAGAGGUUUCGUUCCUGCUCCCCGCAAGCUAGUUGAAGGUUUCUGGCAGGGCAGUCGCUGCUUUGGGGGAAACCCAAACACCCCAAGACAGACCUCGAAAGGGCAGUGUUCCAGUGGGUCACCCACACCUGAGUCAAAGGAGCUGAGGUUUGAGAAGAAUCAGUGUGAUCCCUGGAAAGUGCCUGAACUGUAGAAGGGAAGGGAGAUCUGGAUUCGAAUUUUUUUUCUUCUUUCUAUGGCCACACCUGCAGCAUGUGGAAGUUCCCAGGCUAGGUGUCCAAUCAGAGUUUCAGCCGCAGGUCUACACCACAGCCACAGCCACAGCCAUGUGGAAUCCAAACCGCAUCUGCAACCUACGCUGCAGCAACACCAGAUCCUUAAUCACUGAGCGAGGCCAGGGGUCGGGAUCAAACCUGCAUCUUCUCGGACACUAUGUCAGGUUCUUAGCACACCGGGCCACAGUGGGAUCCCCUGGAUUCAAAUCUUGAUUGUCACAAUUACACAUAUGUGAACUUGGGGGAAGAAAAGGAUUACUUCCGUGAAAGUUCAAUUUCCUCAUUUAGAUGUUGACUAGUCCCUCCGUCUCGGCAGGUUAUUUCCAUGAUGAAAUGAGAUAACACACAGGAAAUGGUGAGGGAAGUUUUGACGAUGACACCAGGAUGAGCUCGAAAUAUGGCAUCUAAGUUUAGAGAAAGGGAGUUUCUCACUUUUCUCCUGUGGGGUUUGGAGAGAAAAGAGUUAACACACCUGGUUUGAGGUGGUUCACUGUGUAAAUUCUCAGAAGCCCCUGGGAGAGAAAGCAAAAUAUGUGAUCUCAUCUCUUUGGUGUGAAGGUAACUGGACCUUGGAGCAAAUACAGGAAAGUUAUUUUCCACGGGAGGGAUCUUAUCUACGAACAGGAGGUCCACGACGAGGAACUGCUGAAAAUAAACUCAGCAUCCACGGAGAAAGCCA